rnacentral:misc_RNA from 1 species
GAUGAAGAACGUAGCGAAAUGCGAUACGUAAUGUGAAUUGCAGAUUUCAGUGAAUCAUCGAAUCUUUGAACGCACAUUGCGCCCGCUAGUAUUCUGGCGGGCAUGCCUGUUCGAGCGUCAUUUCAACCAUCAAGCCCUAGGCUUGCGUUGGAGCCCUGCGGCUGCCGCAGACUCCCAAAUCCAGUGGCGGGCUCGUCGUCGUACCGAGUGCAGUAAACAUCCUCGCUCAGGGAACGUGACGGGUUCUUGCCGUGAAACCCCCCACAUAUCAAGGUUGACCUCGUAUCAGGUAGGAAUACCCGCUGAACUUAAGCAUAUCAAUAAGCGGAGGA